rnacentral:lncRNA from 1 species
AUGAGCCUGAGAGCCUGGGGCAUGUCCAAGUGGAAAUGUCAAGUAGGCCAUAGAGUGGCCGUGGCGCUCGGGACAGAAGUGCCUCUGCCACCACGAGGAACCACCGGCCACUGUGAUAGUCACUCAACCAUGUCUGACUCUUUCCGAGGAGCUUCUCUGUCCAUGGAAUUCUCCAGGCAAGAAUACUGGGGUGGGUUGCCAUUCCCCUCUCCAGGGGAUCCUCCCAACCCAGGGAUGGAACCCAGGUCUUCUGCAUUGCAGGCCAAUUCUUCAUCAUCUGAGUCACCAGGGGGAGUUUUGAAAAAUGAUCGUCAACUCCCUAGUCAAGACAGAAAAUAUUUACAUCACCAUCAAGGGGAGAACAAAGGGCCAGCAACCUGCUGACCAACCCUACCCAGCUCCAUGCUGCUACGGUGUUAUCUCAUGUUUAACAAAUGGGAAAGCCCCUUUUGGCCUCCAUGGGCAGACCAGAGUUCAGCUGUUGGGAGCCAGGAGUGGAAUCCCGGAACGGGCCCAGGAGUCCGGCAGCCAUCUACCCCUACCCCUUAUCUGCUACCCUAACUAUUGUCCCUCUUGUUUCAGUCCCUGCUGAGUUUAAAACGUUAGAGUAGCAGCCCCGAAAAGAAGAUUUAAAUAUCCUUAAUUCCCUGCACUGAAACAUUGUUCAUUAAAACCCUAAUGUUCUAAUCUUUUUCUUAGAUUGUGUUUCUUGAUUUAUCUCCCCCUCCUCAAAUGGGAACCUAGUGACUUUCAAUUACCAUUAUCUGAGAGGAGACGUGUUUGUGUGCGUAGCCAGGGGCUUGGAUGUGCUUAUUAUUUGCAUAUCGUUUGUGUGUGUGUGAGCGCGCGCUCUUCCAGGUUUUUCCUUGCCUGCGUGAUGCUACUUAAAAUCCACUGUGUAAUCUUCACACUCUGGGUCUAAUUUGCUUGUAGACUUCUGUGUCUUCAGGUCCAUGUGUAGCCUGCCCAUCUAUGUAUUAUUCAUAGACACACCUGCUCUCAAAUAAGAAACCAAAUAGAGAGUAAUUCUUUUUUUUUUUAAUUGGGAGAGAAGGAAUCACAGCUCCAAUUUGUAAACCUGCUGCCUCCUCUACUCAUAAGUUAUUCUGGAAACAUCUCUCAAAAGCUGUCUUCUCUUCAAUAAGAGGAGGCCUGUCACCUCUCCAAAGGGGACCCCAAGAGUCCUAUUGGGGGGCCUCUGCUCAGAGACACAACUCUAUAAUCCCUGACGUUACUCAGUUGCGUUCUCUGCUUGUAAGUAAUGAUUCAGCAGUGAAAGCAUGCCUGCAUCAUUGGGAGGCAUUUCAUACCAGUACAAGAAAUUUCUAGAAUUUGGAAAAGGGAGCACAUCGCGUCCUAUGAGAGUCUUAACAAGGUUUGCAUUAUUCUCAGACUUUCACCUUUGCUAUUAUUGAUUAGUUUUGUUCCUAAAAUUAACUUUAAAAAUACUUGAAAGCAGUCUUCUGAGUUGAGGAUUAUCCCUAAUCUCUUAGAUGUUUCUUUAGUGUGUUCUUACUUUUGAUCUUCCUAGUUGUACUGAUUUGAGUAACUCCUCAAUCUGCGGUAUACUUCUCUCCCAGAAUGAACCGCCUGCCGUUUUGAUUCAGAGCAACACGUUGAAUGGGUAUGGCCUGAGUGGCAGAGAAACCUGGGAAGUCUCUUGACAGGAAGUUAAUAUUCUGAAGCUAAAAACCUAUCAGGAUGUUUAUGAUUCUGUAAUACAGUUUAAAUGGUUGAAAGUGUGGCUGCUGGUGUCAGGACAAACUCUACCACAUAUUGGUUAGCUGACUUUGGACAAGUUAUAUAGUAUCUCUAAAGCUAAGUUUAUCUGGAGAAAGGGAGAGAGGAGGCUGGUGGUGGGGAGGAGUGAGGUGGUACAGAGAAAGAGACAUAGAGGGAGUGAAUAAGAGAGUAAAUGAGGUGUUACAUUUUAACAUCAAAUAACCUCACCAAGUAUUAAGGACUAUAUUAUUAAUACUUGGUUUGUGAACCAAGAUUUAAAAGCAUGACACUGUAUGGGAGACUGUCUGACAUGUAGACGGAUGCACGAGACAGUCUGUAUUGAAGGCAGGCAUCUCCAUGACAACCACAGUGCCCUCUGCUUAGCAGGUCCCCUGACAAAUCACCCAUUUUGCUUAUAGCUCAGUGAUUCCCUGGAUUUCCAGGUGCUUUAUAAAUAAAGAUGAAGAAUCUACUCCUUUCAAAUAAGAAUAGUUUUUAUUAGUUUUAACUAAAUAGAUAAGUAAUACAUGAAUAUCUUCUCUUUAUAAAAAAAUUAAACAUUAUAGGUAAGCUCAAAGUCUUCUUUGACCACCAUCUCAUCCUCAUCUCCACCCCAGAGGUAACUUUCACCAUCAGUUUGAUGUGUCUUCUUUUACACAUUUACCAUGCAUUUAAAACAAAACAAAACAAAACAAAAAACACAUAGUAUCUAAAUAGGAAAAAAAUUAUAUUGCUUUGUCUGCAUGGGUGUUUUUAUAUAUGUUUUUAUACUGUGUGUCAUUCUUCAGCUUGAUUAUUUUUCACUUAACAAUAGGUCUUGAAGAGUUUCCCAUGUCAGUACGUAUGGCACUUUAAAAAGAAAUCUGCUGUAUAUACAUGUGUGUGUGUGUGUAUGUGGUAUGGAUAAACCACAUUUUAUUUAGCCAUUCUGAUGGCCAUUUAAGUUAUUUCUGACAUGUUGCUAUUGCAAACAAAGCUGCCACAAACAUCCUCAGACCUGGCUUCUAAGCACAUGAAUAAGGAUUUCUCUGGGGAAGAUAUGGAUAAACAGAAUCAUUGGAUCAUAGUAUAUGAAUAUUUUUUGCUAUAACAGAUAAUGCCAAAUUACCCUGCAAGAUGUGGUCAUACCAGUUUACAGUCUUAUCUGUAGUGUAUAGAAAUAUCUUUUCUCAUAUAUCCUUUUAAAUUUUUAUAAUUUAUUAGAAAAAAAAACUCACUCAUGUUUGAAUCUCCUGACUGCUAGUAAAACUGAGGUUUUUGCCAUUCAUUUUGGGGCUAUUUAUAUUUUUUUAU